UUGUAGUGUAACGCUUUUGCUCCUUUUUAUGAUUGCAAUACACCAAGUAUUUGUGUGGUUGUAGUAGGGCUUCUGCUGUUUUGUACAUUGGUCUUUGACCACAUUGUGUCACCAAUAUCACCUUGUUUGCCAUUCUCAGAUAUUGCAUUUUCCUAUUAGUUUUAUCUUGAGUAAAUGUAAAUUGCACUUACCUAACCAAUUUGAGCUCUUUUUUUAGCUUCUUGAUUCAUUGUUUCUCAUUCUACUUGCUAAUCUUUUCUCUUAACAUUUGACAUUCUCAGACAAGCUGUUUAUGAGUCACUGCUCAUGUGAGGUGAACUGUACUGAGGACAACAUCCUUGCUCUAACAGAGGAAGAAGACCAAAAUGGAACUCCCCCUCCUGUCUGGAAAUCAUUGGCUGCCCUUCUACAAAAGAUCUUUCUUUUUAAGGUCAAAAAUCAAUGUGUUCAGGAAAAUCUCCAAGUGGUUACCAGUGGAUUAGCUAGCGACAUCACAGCCCCCUUUCUCUAGUUAAGGGAAGAAAGUGUUAUAAGUGCAGCUGCUCAAGCCUUUUCUUCUCUCCAAGAGCUUUGGAGAAAGUAAGGGAUAACAAUAUAUGAAAACAAUCAGCAACCUUUAAGAAAAAGCUACUAUUAAAUCUAAGGAGUUGGAAUUGAAGGUAUCAUUUUGGUCCAUCUCUAUCUGAAAAACAUGAAAGAUUUCUCAGCUAUUAACUCAGCAUAUGUGACCAUGUUCAAGCUCUGCCUGCCUGCAAGAGUAUGUGUAGAAACUAUGUUGCCAGAAGAAGUACUUUUCUUAAUAGACUACCCUGUCCACCAGAGUGACAUAAGGAUUGGUGAGGGUCUCUCUCAUCCCCAAGAGAUCCUGCACAUUCCGAGUAUUUCUCAUUGGGCGCCUGCAAGCAUUGGACCAUAUAGUCAGUCCAUCAAGGUUAGUAGACGUGCUUAAGGGUUUCUCGUUUUGGUGGCGAUCAACUAGAUAUGUGAAGUUGACAAGUUGGCUCUUUUUUAAUAACAAAAUUUUCAAUUCAACUAUAUUCUUUACCAUAUUAGUAUCCCACAUAUGUAUAGUGACAUCUUUAAAAGGGGAAACUUGGUUUAUAGGCAAAAACAAUUAAGAAAAGCAAUUUUAUAUAUUAUUUCAUCUGUAAAAGGUUAAUCAAAACGCUAUGGCU